CAUCUUUUCUAGUAUUUUAUUUGAGAUUUGACCUGCCCAAUGAUUUAAUUUAAUGGCCGCGGUAUUUUGACCGUGCAAAGGUAGCAUAAUCAUUAGUCUAUUAAUUGUGGACUUGUAUGAAUGGUUGGACGAAAUAUUUUCUGUCUCAUAUUGAUUUAUUUAUAAUUUGAAUUUUGAGUUAAAAUGCUUAAAUUUUUUUAUAGGACGAGAAGACCCUAUAGAUCUUUAUUUUUAAUUUGUUUAAAGGUUUUGGAUUAGUGAGUUUUAUCUUUAAUCAGGUUAUUUAUUUUGUUGGGGUGACAUUGAUAUAUAAUUAACUAUUAAUUUUUUAUAUUCAUUUAUUUUUGUAUAUUUGACCUUUUAUUAAUGUUAAAAGAUAUAGAUACCUUAGGGAUAACAGCGUAAUUCUUUUUGAGAGUUCAUAUCGACAAAGGAGAUUGCGACCUCGAUGUUGGAUUAAGAAUAUAAUUAGGUGUAGGUGCUUAAUAGGUAAGUCUGUUCGACUUUUAAAUUCUUAC
rnacentral:rRNA from 1 species